rnacentral:lncRNA from 1 species
GUAUGGCGUUUUUUCUCUUGUAUGAAGAGGUCCUAAAGAGCUGCUGACUGCUAAUGGUGGAACUGAAACUAGUAGUACAGGAUCUCAUUCUUUUACUCAGGUGUUUUAUUUCCUCACCUUGUUUCUUUGUGUAGCAGAAAUGCUAAGUCAUGGCCUGAAACAGUGAUGGAGCACCUGGUGGGAAGGCAGGGCCAACCCAGGGGAGCUCAGCUGCAAGCAGUGCACCUGAGUGACCGCAAGGGGUGGAUCCUGGCUCCACCCCUUCCCAGACCUCAUUUAAGGGUUGGCAGUGGAGAUGAGGGUAUCUCACUGGAGAUCCCUGCCUACUUGGAGCCUUCUAAAGGUAAGCAGAUUUUCUUCUUUUGUUUCUGUGUCUACAGCUGCUCCAAUGGGGUUUGUUCUCAUUUGCUGCAGCCCAGGAUUGUGCCACCCCGCUAUUAUUGCUGUACUUUCCAUUGCAUUACAGCAUUAGACUUUGAUUUUUUUCUAGACUGUAGUUUGUUCAAAAGUAUAUCUUCACGUUUGAAAGUCCUCCUUGCAGAAUACAAAUAUUCAAGCAUCUCAAGAUGGUGCGAGCUCCAAAAACAGCACAGGUUUACAACUCUAGAAGAAAACAACUUGUGUUCAUGUCACAAUUCUCAUUCAGGUGUUUUAAAACUUUUCUUUGUAUCUAGUAAUGUGAGAACUGUAAAACACUACUUUGUUAAGGCUAUCAUGGAGCCUGAAGCAGUAGCACAGGAAGAAGGUGCCAUGUUCUGUGGCAUAAUUGGAUGA